rnacentral:rRNA from 1 species
GGGUGAGUAACACGUGGAUAACCUACCUAUAAGACUGGGAUAACUUCGGGAAGCCGGAGCUAAUACCGGAUAAUAUAUUGAACCGCAUGGUUCAAUAGUGAAAGACGGUUUUGCUGUCACUUAUAGAUGGAUCCGCGCCGCAUUAGCUAGUUGGUAAGGUAACGGCUUACCAAGGCAACGAUGCGUAGCCGACCUGAGAGGGUGAUCGGCCACACUGGAACUGAGACACGGUCCAG